GACGUAGGGCGCGAGCGUUGUCCGGAUUUAUUGGGCGUAAAGAGCUCGUAGGCGGUCUGUCGCGUCGAUCGUGAAAACUUGGGGCUUAACCCUGAGCUUGCGGUCGAUACGGGCAUGACUGGAGUUCGGCAGGGGAGACUGGAAUUCCUGGUGUAGCGGUGAAAUGCGCAGAUAUCAGGAGGAACACCGGUGGCGAAGGCGGCAUCCUGGACCGACAUUGACGCUGAGGCGCGAAAGCCAGGGGAGCAAACGGG
rnacentral:rRNA from 1 species